UUCUGUUAUUGUUUGCACCUGUGCCUCGUUCUCCCUGUAUGUAUUUAAACCCUUAGAUCUCCUCUGUUUCUUCGCUCUAAGUUUUAACGUUAGCACACAGUCUAUGGGAAGCUUUGGACAUUUUAUUGUGCCCGCUGGAUUAUCUGGUUUUUGGAGCUCUGUUUCGGGGUUAGUGUUUAUUACUGGAUUUUUUUCGAGGCUUUUUGUUGUACCUACUUACCUUGUGGAUUUACCUUUUGGAAUUACUCUUGACUUUGUGGAUUUAUAUUUUUUUGCCUGGAGCUUCUUAAACAUCGUCUCAAGUACUGCUGUGUCUGCCUCAUCAUCUGGGUUCUGCAGACCCCUUGUGACUCAGUGGACCGAGUGACUCUUCCACAUCGGAGACCUGAGUUCUUGCCCGGGUCGUGAAAGUUUACUGUGUGCUUCGCGCGGGAGCCGAGGAUUGCUUAGCUAAACGGCCCUAAACCGUUUCCCAUUCAUUUUCAAUGGUAGUGCUAAAACACUACGGAUGCAAUAUUAUUUUGGCCACUGACGCUCUGUGGCGCACUUCCGCGUCUUGCACCGCCGGGAGAUUUGAAGCCUCCGAUAUUGCAGUCGGAUAAUAUUGCUUCCGCGUCUGAAAGACGAGACACGCUCAGAACUUUGCUCGUUUCAUUCAGCGCUUUUUCGUCUCAUCGAUCAAAGGAACGUUUUUUCACAACCUCCGCUUGUUUAGCGAUACGCGUGUGCUGAUUUUUACACGAGUCGUUUUUGUCAAAAACUCCGGUCGUCAUGCAGAAAGUUUUUUUUUUUUCCUGGAAGGGUUAAAGUCACGUUCUGUAAGGGACCGCUGGGAUAUCUUCUGCAGGAUCCAACUGACCAGGCCAGGGCGAUAAAAAAACAACCCAUCUUUGCUGGACAAGUCGGCACCAAUUAAGGAGGAGCUUGUCGGACAAAAUGCUCUGAAUGUGGUCCGUCAAAGAGGAGGUGAUGCAUCAGACCAAAAAUACGUUUUUGGAGUACAUCCUGCAGUUUGGAAAAUACAAGGGGAAGUCCUUCCGGUGGCUCCUUGAAAAUGAUGUGGGGUACACCAUCUACCUGAUAAAGAACCUUCAGCAGGAAGAGGCUGCAGGAGUUACAAUGACUGAGCGGCACAGCAAGAGCAGCCUAGUCUCUUUUGUGAAGUACGCCCACAGCUUUGAGGAAAUCCAGUCUCUUCUAAGCUGUUUCUAAAACUCCAGCUGCACCAGUGGCCUCAUCGGAGAAAGACCAGCUGCUUGGUUUCGGCGCUCGUGCCAAGAGUACAUGGAGGGAGAUUUGGGACAGCAGAGCUGAUGGUUACGCUUCCUUUAUAAUGGGGGCAAAAUGUGUCCGAGGGACGUGGAUGUAUAAACUGCAACAAUACCUGUUGAAGCAGCAGCAGUAUGCCCGUACGCGUGUGCCUGCCUCAAGUGCCACAUCUGAGCCCACAGAGAUGGAUGAAGAUGCUGAGCUGGAGAGUGAAGUGCUGAACAUCACCCCCUCUAACCCUACUGGUGCAAUCGCCAGCACAAUCUUCAUCAGUGUCCUCAGCUGCUGAAGUGAAACACUCCAUGGAAACGGCAACAGGCUUUUUGAACAUUUUAGACUCACCACUGUUGUAUUGAUGAAUUAUGUUAUGAAAUGUCAACUCGAUAUGAAUUAUUUUUGUCUUAAUGUGUCUGUGUUGGCUGUGUGUCACUAACAAAUCUGUGUGAUGUUGGCAUGAUACUAACUGUUCAAGGGGCUAUGAAUUGAUUCCCGCACCACGAUGAACUGAUAAAUCCCCGUUCUGGAACCAUCUACUGUUCUUUUAAAACCACUGACUGGCACUAUAAAGGAACUGCAUCUGUCUCCUGUGGAUGCACCAGCUCUGAAAACGCCUGAGCCCCUUCCUAAAGAGCUGAUGUUUCUUGUGCAGGAACCAUCGGCUUCUACACAAACAAUGAAAAGCGUUUCAGCCACAGCAGAGAGCAGUAUCUCUUGAGCUAGCAGGACACUUUCUUUUGCAGAAUGUAACAAAGAUGAACCAUGUUCCUCUGCUCCUGCUUCUUCAGUGUGCAGCCCACCACCUUUGUGACAGACAGUGGACAGAAUUACCAUAUUUAAUAUCAGUGGCUAUACUUUUUGUUUGUUCAAAUUUUCAAUCACACCCAGGCACAACUCUUCCCAGAGCUCCUGCUCCACAGCUUCCUGGAUACGAUCAUGACAUACAUCAGUGGAAGUGUUCUCAUCAACAAGAGGAUCUGGAUGAAGACCGAGCUGGAAUCCAUGGGUCUGUGGCCAGGCUCUCCUCCUGUGAGCAACCCCAUGAAGACUGUCACUGUGGCGUUUACCUCCUCAGCCUGAGCUGAUAGAAAGUCUCUGAUCUGCCUAAGGUCUUUUCCAUUUACAGAGAGCAUGGUAUGGAGAAGGAGAUGAGAUGGAAAGUUUCAGAAGUCUCAAUUUUACAACAUGGAAAGACAGAAAUGGGUUUCAGAAAAAAGUAAAUGAGAAAUUUCCCCAUGUAAAUAUAUUUUGCUUGUGUUUGUUCUGCCUGAAAGUGUUAAAACAAUAAAAACUACUAAGA